UAAUUAGGAAUUUAAUUAUGAAAAAAUAACUCCGAAAUCAGAUUAUUUUCUCCAAAAUCUUUGGCAAACAAGGCCUACACCUGCCACCCCCAUCUCCUUGAUCCACCCUUUGUUCUGAAUCCAAGUUUCUAAUUUUACACCAAACCUAAUUUAUUAUCGCUCUGGGAUUCUGGAAAGUGGAAUUUGUGAUGGGCAACGGUUCCUCCAUGCUCACUCAGUACGACAUUGAAGGGGUCCAAGAACACUGCAGCAAUACCUUUUCCCAGCAGGAGAUUGUUUCACUGUACGAGAGAUUCUGCCAGCUGGACAGGAGCGGAGGUGGCUUCAUCUCCUCCGAUGAGUUUAUGAAUGUACCUGAAUUUGCCAUGAAUCCCCUUUCUCAGAGACUCUUGAGAAUGCUGGAUGGGCUAAAUUUUAAGGAGUUUGUGUUAUUUCUAUCUGCUUUUAGUUCUCGAGCGAGCUUGCAGCUGAAAGUUGAAUUUAUUUUUAAGGUUUAUGAUUCUGAUGGUAACCAUAAGGUUAGUUUCAAUGAUGUUCUGGACAUAUUGCGUGAUUUGACGGGUCAAUUUAUAGCUGAACAUCAGAGAGAGGUUAGUCUCUCUACUUUAUUCAUCUUUCCCUCUUAUAUAUGGAGUAUUAGUUUUUACUUUCUUUUCUAUAUGUCUAACUUUCUGUUGCUUAUUUGUUCUUUGCCCUGCCGAAGCUGUGGAAAAAUGCAAAUUCCUAUGCUUACAAAAUGACAAAAACUAGAAAAACUGUAGUGAAUAAAUUAACUGAAGCACUCGAUGAAUAUUAAUCUUCUAAAUCAGAACCACCAUGAUUUUUCUUAAUGUUAUUUUUUGCAUGUCACAGCUAUAAUAUAUUGGUUCUACUAUUUUAUGAUUUAAUCCGGCACUUGUAUCAUUUGAUUCAUUUCCCCACAAACAAUUCACACUGCUAAAUAGUAGUAGUACUAUUUAAUGUAGUAAUAUUAUUUUGCCAUCUGCAAGGGGGUCCUUUCCUUGCUUUCUCAUAGUGUUCUGGAUCCUACCGCUAAUUAGUUGCUGAGUUGCGCUAAUAUGAAGUUCUGUAUUGUUAUAAAUAGCGUGUUCUUACCAAAGUUCUUGAGGAAGCAGGCUACAGAAAAGAUUCUGUAUUAGUUCCAGCUGACUUCAUGAAGAUCCUGGGCAGUUCUGUUCUGAAGAUGGAAGUUGAAGUUCCAGUAGAUUAGAGAUGAGAAACGAUAUGUUUAGACAUAUUUGUCCGUUAAACUCAUAUUCGAGACAUUUUUUAUCCUUCAUGUUUUAAGCCACUUAGCUGUUUUUUUUUUC